AUUCAGCUGAGACUCUCUUGAGCAAAUUUUCCAAGACUCCUUAAGGGGAAGGACCUGGUCCAAGUUGACUUGGUGUCUCCGUCAUCAAGCACAAUGCCUGGUUCACAAUGGACUCUUCAUGCAUCUCUUUCUACAAGAUGAGAAGGAUCAGAGGGCUGCUGGAGGAAGUAAAGAAGAAAAUAUAAACAGCAGUUAGCAUGAUGCCUGGCACAUGGUGUGCAUUCAGGAUAUAACUGGGGCCUUUGGGAACCAGGCAAUAUUCCAGACACACAUGACAUCAGUAACAUCCAUAUGUCUGUGAUGGGGUAGGAGAGAAGACUACUUUUCAGGUGGGACAUUUUGAUUGGAGAGGGUCUCUGAUUCAGAGAGUGAGGGCUUGUUUCUGAGAGUGUGCACGGAGAUUGAAGGGCAGGGGCUCAUGUGACAGUGUGAAGCAGGAAUUCUGACCGUUGGCCAAACCAAGCCCUGAAACUCAAGUUCUGUUUGGGAGUGAGAGGCAGAAAGCCUUGGAGGCAGCUUCAAUUAGAAGCUAAUUUUACUAAUUAGAAAAUUGGUAUCAGAAGGACGAUUGAACGUGUCCAACGUCACACAGCCAGUAAGGAGAGGGGCCUGGACUGGAGCAGACCUGUCUGAUUCACUCAGACAGGACUGGAGCAGACCCUUGCUUUAUUCACUCAAUAGUUUUUUCCAAAGGCUUUUUAAGAAGAGGACUUUGGAGUUGUAAAGAAUUUAGAUACGUGGAAAUGAGAGAAAGGCCUUCCAGGCAGAGGAAACAGGAUGAACAAAGUCUUGGCAGAGAUGGGAUCUCACCAUAUUGCCCACACUGGUCUCGAACUCCCAGGUUCAAACCAUCCUCCUGACUCAGCCUCCCAAAGUGCUGCGACUAUAGGCGUGAGUCAUGGCACCUGGCCUGGAGCGCCUUUUCUAUGGAAACCAGAAGACCCCUAAAACUCAUCUUUCUUUUUGCCUGAGGGAUUAUCCCAUUGUGAUGACCUUGACUUUGAAGGAACCCUCCUACCUCCUUGACUCUUCUGUAGCCCCAAACAUCCCCAUGCAAAUAAGCCCAUAAAAGGAGCCCUGAGUCCUUCAACUCAAACAUGUCAUCACUGUACCCGGGUAAAUAAAAAUAAAAACUCAUGCCAUAUAUUGAUUUACUGGUGAUCAUAUUAUAUAUGCAAUUUGUAUGCUGCCUUGUCGCCUACCAUAGUGUGGAUAUUUUCUCAUGUGAUUAAAGACUCUU
rnacentral:lncRNA from 10 species